UGCGUGAAGAGGAAGGACGGUAGCGCAGGAAUAAGUCUCGGCUAACUACGUGCCAGCAGCCGCGGUAAAACGUAGGAGGCGAGCGUCAUCCGGAUUUACUGGGUGUAAAGCGCGUGCAGGCGGUUCUGUAAGUCGUGUGUGAAAGCGCUCAGGCUCAACCGGGCGAGGACAUGCGAAACUGCAGGACUUGAGGUAGGUAGAGGUCUGUGGAAUUCCGGGUGUAGUGGUGAAAUGCGUAGAGAUCCGGAGGAACACCAGUGGCGAAGGCGACAGACUGGACCUGACCUGACGCUAAGACGCGAAAGCAUGGGUAGCGAACGGGAUUAGAAACCCCGGUAGUCCAUGCCGUAAACGAUGUCUACUAAGUGUUGCGGUGUAGAAACUGCAGUGCUGAAGCCAACGUGAUAAGUAGACCACCUGGGGAGUACGGUCGCAAGGCUAAAACUCAAAGGAAUUGACGGGGACCCGCACAAGCAGCGGAGCGUGUGGUUUAAUUCGAGGCUACACGAAGAACCUUACCUGGGCUUGACAUAGCGGUGGUACCAAAGCGAAAGCGGCGGGACCUUCGGGAGCCGUUACAGGUGCUGCAUGGCUGUCGUCAGCUCGUGUCGUGAGAUGUUCGGUUAAGUCCGGUAACGAGCGCAACCCUCGCCGUUAGUUACAAGUGUCUAACGGGACUGCCCGUUGAACGCGGGAGGAAGGUGGGGAUGACGUCAAGUCAGCAUGGCCUUUAUGUCCAGGGCUACACACACGCUACAAUGGCCGGUACAAUGGGUCGCCAACCAGCGAUGGGGAGCCAAUCCAACAAAGCCGGUCUCAGUUCGGAUUGUAGGCUGCAACUCGCCUGCAUGAAGUCGGAGUUGCUAGUAAACGCGCAUCAGCUAUGGCGCGUUGAAUACGUUCCCGGGUCU
rnacentral:rRNA from 1 species